GAAAGGAAGCCGGGAGCGCGGGCGGGAGAGGGAGGGGGUGCUUAAAGGGGCCGCGGCCGCUGCCAGGCCAGAGGGGGCAGUGUCGCCUGCGGCCCCCGCCAUCCCUCUGGCGCUCUCCUGGCAGGAUAAGUCACCCUCACAGUACCAUCCUCUUCACUCUAGAACUGGAGAGUGGCCCACGGAGCGUGGGUCCAGGGACAGUGACCCCUGGGAUCAAGGAAGAAAGUGGAGUCACACCCUUUCUGACUGCACACCGUCAACAAUAUGGACGCCCAGGUGCCAGAGAGGUCGUGCAGCGUAUCCCUCUGCCUCCGGGCUAAAAAUACAUCUAUGCCUCUUUCAUGCUUCUAUCUGAGCAGUUUUUAAAGACCUCCCAAGGAGUGACCACUGUGCGCGUGUGCAGUAAUAUCCAUUUGGCAUAUGCCUUGUAUACAUCCACGGUGUUUCUGAGCACCAGAGGCCUCCCCUCCCCCCACAGCCAGUGCUAAGCUGGUGGGUCUUCUGCAAGCAAAGAUACGGGGCGGGGGACACGAGACGACACGGCGGGGGAGGGACACGAGUCGGGACACACCACCUGCCGCCCUGUGCUGCAUCCACACCAAGGAGUCUUUGGGCUUGGUAGCCCCAACCCUGGCUAUGUGAGGGGCUGGGAGCACAGCCCAAGAGUGGUGGCCGCCCGAUCGACCCCCAGCUAUGGAAUUUCAUUUAUUAAAUAUCGAGGAGGCUGUUGGCAGCCCC